UACGAAGGGGGCUAGCGUUGCUCGGAAUUACUGGGCGUAAAGGGCGCGUAGGCGGACAGUUUAGUCGGGGGUGAAAGCCCGGGGCUCAACCUCGGAAUUGCCUUCGAUACUGGCUGUCUUGAGUACGGGAGAGGUGUGUGGAACUCCGAGUGUAGAGGUGAAAUUCGUAGAUAUUCGGAAGAACACCAGUGGCGAAGGCGACUCACUGGACACGUAUUGACGCUGAGGUGCGAAAGCGUGGGGAGCAAACAGG
rnacentral:rRNA from 1 species